GACGGUAAUGGAUCGAUUUGAAAGGGACGCGGUUCUUUAUGGAUACAUUAUGUCUGCAGAAUGGGAACAUCAUUCUCAUUGUUGGAUCGGUUGUCCUGACUUCUAGAUAACUGGAGAGACAAUGCAAAAAUGGUGAUUGAAAUGAGCUUGAAUGAUUCUUGGCUUCGUGAUACAGGGCCAGCACUUAUUGUUAAAGAAACCAAAUCCACGAGCAAUUCAGAGACUAAGGUUGUUGGGAUUGAUUGGGAAUUCAACAGUUAUGG